rnacentral:rRNA from 1 species
UACGGGGGGGGCAAGCGUUGUUCGGAAUUACUGGGCGUAAAGGGCUCGUAGGCGGCCAACUAAGUCGGACGUGAAAUCCCCAGGCUCAACCUGGGAACUGCGUCCGAUACUGGAUGGCUUGAAUCCGGGAGAGGGAUGCAGAAUUCCAGGUGUAGCGGUGAAAUGCGCAGAUAUCAGGAGGAACACCAACAGCGAAGGCAGCACUCUGGGCCGGUACUGACGCUGAGGAGCGAAAGCAUGGGGAGCGAACAGG